rnacentral:rRNA from 1 species
GUGCCAGCCGCCGCGCUAAUACCGGCAGCACGAGUGAUGGCCGAUCUUAUUGGGCCUAAAGCGUCCGUAGCCGGCCGGACAAGUCCGUUGGGAAAUCGACGCGCCUAACGCGUCGGCGUCCAGCGGAAACUGGCCGGCUUGGAACCGGAAGGCUCAGAGAGUACGUCCGGGGUAGGAGUGAAAUCCCGUAAUCCUGGACGGACCGCCGGUGGCGAAAGCGCCUCGGGAAGACGGACCCGACAGUGAGGGACGAAAGCCAGGGUCUCCAACCGGAUUAGAAACCCUUGUAGUCC